rnacentral:rRNA from 1 species
CCAGACUCCUACGGGAGGCAGCAGUGGGGAAUAUUGCACAAUGGGGGGAACCCUGAUGCAGCGACGCCGCGUGAGUGAAGAAGUAUUUCGGUAUGUAAAGCUCUGUCAGCAGGGAAGAAGAAGGACGGUACCUGACCAAGAAGCCCCGGCUAACUACGUGCCAGCAGCCGCGGUAAUACGUAGGGGGCAAGCGUUAUCCGGAUUCACUGGGUGUAAAGGGAGCGUAGACGGCCGUGCAAGCCAGGAGUGAAAGCCCGGGGCCCAACCCCGGGACUGCUCUUGGAACUGUGCGGCUGGAGUGCGGGAGGGGCAGGCGGAAUUCCUGGUGUAGCGGUGAAAUGCGUAGAUAUCAGGAGGAACACCGGCGGCGAAGGCGGCCUGCUGGACCGUGACUGACGUUGAGGCUCGAGAGCGUGGGGAGCAAACAGGAUUAGAUACCCCAGUAC